GGGAGUACCAGCGUGGGCUGUAGUGUCGAGGAACCUGCCUUGUUUCUUGAUUUUCAUACGUUUUAAGCGUUCUACAACCCAGAAAUUGUUAACGUUGAUCCUGGACAUUGUACAGUUAUAGCAGUUACUGUGUGGUUUUGAAACAGUGAGUGAGUGCCUUCGUGAGUGACACAGGUGAGGAAGACUGGCAGGUACUGAAAUAAUGUUUUCACUCGGCUAACGCUUGGAAAGACUUGAGUGGCCUCGGCUUGCUGUCAAGUGUCGUGGUGUGGUGAGGUGCAGAACAACGUGUAUCUCAGGGAAGAAAGCAACUUUUGAACUCGCGGAAUAACACAGAGGAGCCCGGGAUGACCUGAGAGUUGGAGCAGUUGACGGUGGUGACUGUGAUGAAGUCGAAUAGGUCUUCAAUACUGGACAGGAGUUUGUUUAAAAAUACGACUAGCCUGCCGUUCUCUUGCAUUCAGUUAUAUUCGCUGCAAUAUUCACGACAUACUGUGUUUUGUAAAAUAACAUUACUAAACGCUGCCGUGCUGUUCAUCCUGAGUGCAGAGUGUUUGUGACUGACACGAGCAGUGAAUGACAGAAACAGGAGCAUUUUGGUGAACAAACUUUGAUGACCGUGUCCAGCCCUCAUGGCCCCUCCACGUGUGCCUCAGGCUGGCAAUGGGGGCACCUCCUUCACUGUGGCCUUCACUGCACCCACUAAACGCCCUGGUAUAUCCACUGGGGGGCACAAACGGCCCAGCAGGAACCCACCUCAAAGCAGGAUAACGCCUAGAGUCACCUCUGUAAAAAAGCAGUCAGUGGGCGUGAACCUGAAGGGGCCUCGACAAGGGGAGCGCGACGGAAGCAGGACCGAGAAUGUGGCGUUUGACCCUGGGGGAGGCGGCGCUGCAGCAGGGGCGGUGGGGGAGGAAGUACCAAGACGCCCCAGGAUACGCCCCGCCCCGCCCCUCCCCAAACCUGAACCGAAGAUAGUGAAGCCCAAAGGGAAGAUGACGCAGAAGGAGUUCGAGCCAGAGGCCUUCCUCAACGCCGGCUGUGGCUUCUGGGGACGAGCGCAGCCCACGGAACCCCAGCGGCCGACUCCUCCUACAGACAAGCCUCCUGAUCACCACGUCAAACAGCAACAGAUGCAACAGCAACCCCAGCAAUAUCAAGCGCCGACACAGCAGCAGCAGAUACAGCAAACAUAUCAACCUCCCAAUCCUUAUCGCCAUCCCCAACAGUAGCAGCAACAGGAACAGGUAUAUCAGAAUGGCGCAGCGCAGAGUCAGCCACGCACAUAUCAGCAGGCGCCUCACCCUUACCCCCCAAUGUCGGCGCCUCAGCAGCAGCACCACCAGGCCUACCCCGCCGUCACCACGCAGCAGCAGCUGCCAAUGGGCUUUGCUGGGUUUGGCGGAGCUCCGGUGUACGUGGUGCUGCCCUCUCCCGGUGGGGGCAUGGUUCCCUCUGCAGACCCCGGCGGCCCACAACUACAGGAGAUCCUAAGGAAUCUCCCUUACACUCCCAGCAGCCGCGGCGUGACCAUUUAUGAGCUGCCGGAAGGGUCCACACAGAAGACGACGCGGGCGCCAGACUCAACGCCCCCGUCAGCGGCGUCCUCUCAAGGCUCUGUCGGAUCGCGGUGGUCGGCGGCAUCAGGAGGCAGCCACAGUGACGACCGCAGUGCUGGACGGGCGCGCUGGGGGGACAGGGGCGUGGGCGUGGGUCACCUGUGGGCCCCGGGGGAGGACACUGUUCCUGGAAGUCUUUCACUCACGUUAUGGAGAACAAAUAACAUGUAAACCUUCUUCACAGUCUUAAUUUAACAGCAGCACCAACAAAAACAACAACAACAACAACAACAACAAAAACAAACAAACAAACGAACGGCAAACACGCAUCAAGUUCCACAAUUCCAAGUGUCCAAAAGUUCGAAUAUAUUUUUGUCUUUU